rnacentral:misc_RNA from 2 species
UGUGGGAGCGAGCCUGCUCGCGAUGGCGGGCUGUCAUUCAACACUGAUGUUGAAUGUGCUGGCCCUAUCGCGAGCAGGCUCGCUCCCACA